GACGAACGCUGGCGGCGUGCUUAACACAUGCAAGUCGAACGGAAAGGCCCUGCUUUUGUGGGGGGCUCGAGUGGCGAACGGGUGAGUAACACAUGAGUAACCUGCCCUUGACUUUGGGAUAACUGCAGGAAACCGGGGCUAAUACCGGAUCGGAUCUCCUGCGGCAUGGGGGUGGUUGGAAAGCUUCGGCGGUAGGGGCUGUACUCGGGGGUUAUCAGCUUGUGAGUGGGGUAGGGGCUUACCAGGGCCGAGACGGGUAGCCCGCCUGAGAGCGUGGCCGGGGUCAUUAGGACUGCGAGACGGCGCAGUCGCCAACGGGAGGCAAUGGGGGGGAAUCUUGCACAAUAAGGCGGAGCCUGAUACGACGGCGCUGCGUGCGUGAUGACGGUCUUCGCGUAGUGAACCGCUUUCGCCUGUGACGAUGAGUGCGUGACGGUAAUGGGUAAAGAAGCACCGGCUAACUACGUG
rnacentral:rRNA from 1 species